CUUGGGAAAAUUUUUUUUAAAAAAAUGACGGGGCGGAACCCAUCAUCGCUCAAAACUGUGCGUUUGAGCCUUUGAGGUGAUAGCAGCGCCAUUUGAGUUGGAAGACAAACACCUGCUGCCGCCUCCUCAUCUAGUUCAGCUGUGUGUUGCUUUUGACGAAUCAUCAUGGGCCUGCAUAACCUACCAUUUAAAGUUGGACAGGACAUAGAAUCGAGAUCCUUUAUGAAAGGUUAUCGUGGUGCGUGGUUCCGAUGUAAGAUAAAAGAUUUUGGCUGGAGAAAUGGUCAGCUGUCGUGUGCUUUGGAAUAUUAUGACUUUCCAGAUGAAAAAAUAACUUGGGAGAAGAUAUAUCAAAACAACCCUGCUGAUGGUAAAAGGACAAGAAAGGAGAAGACAUUGAUGCUGCGUCCUCCCUUUCCUCCUAUCUAUCGUGAAAGUAAAAGGCCUGAUGUCAAUACCAUAUUGGAAGUGAUAGUUAUUGUCAAUGAUGCCUGGAAAGUGGGAGAUUUAGUUGAUUGGUGGAAGGAUGGUUGUUAUUGGUCUGGAAAAGUAGCAGAAGUAUUAGGGGAUGAAACAGUGAAGGUUGAGUUGCCACGUCCUCCUGUUGGUGAAGGAGUUGAAGGAGAGAUGUAUGAGGCUUCUUACAAGGACCUGCGCUCAUCCUUGGAUUGGUCUCUAGAAUAUGGAUGGACAGUACCUACACCCAAGGAGAGAGAAAAUGGGCAUCCUUGUGUUCAAGUAAUUAAGCCUGAUAAUCAAGGAGACAUUCCAAGCGUGGUGGCCCAAACUGUAGGUGAUGGAAGAAGAGAUGUACAGGCAAUUGCUGGUGCAGAUCAAUCUUUAGCAGCAAAGGAGUUAGCAGCAAAGGACCCAGCCACUGCAGAAACAAAUAUGGCGUCUGAUGUAGCAGAUAGCCUUUUUGGGAAGACGAGUUGCUCAGAUAGUGGUUCAAGUUCGCAUGUGAAAGAUGCAUUAAAUAAAAUGGGGGGAACUGCAACUAGGAUAGACAUUGUUGAUAACGAUAGGUCCUUGAAGAAGAUGAAAACUGACGAAGGCAUAAUAUUGAAUUCGAUGAGCUCUGAUACAUUAGAAGCUGCAAUUUUGGACUUGGAGGAACUUGUAAACCGGGUUAAAUGGAUGAAAGGUAUGUUGGAGACUGGAAUGCCUUUGACAGGUGCCAUGCGCCCCCAUUGGAAAUUUCUUGGAAAUCAUACCGUGUUUACGCCAAGUGAAGGUUUUCACUAGUAAGUCAAAUGGAAGGCAGGAGAAAACUGGACAUGACAAUAGUUCAUCUCUGUUCAAUCUAGUAACUUCUAGAAUUACACCUUUUCUGAUGGAUUUUGUGUAUACCUCUAUAGUUGGAGGUUGAUGAUGUUUUAUCAUCCUGUUCCAGCCCAAGAAGGCAAGGAGCGGCGGAGCUAUCGGGAAUGAGCGAUGUAAUUUGUUUGUCCAGUUUCUAAAACCUGACAUGACGAAAGCUUUCCGUUGCCUUGGUUACUCAGAGUGGUCGUGUAUAGGCUUCCAUUCUAUACAAUUUACUUCUGUUAUUGUUUGUAUUUUAAGUGUCACAUUGCAUGUUUUGCGUCUGAAGUUCUGAACUGACAUCUUUUAAGUGACAAGGGCCAGGCUUCCACUUCGUAGUGAACUGAAAGAGUGAAGUUGUAUCUUAAUUAUUAUAUCCAUCAUCUCAAGUUCUCCAUUGCUUUCUUUGUAAAAAUGUAAAUACUGCGACACGAUGUGGAGUUCAUGCAUGGAUUUUUCAUA